rnacentral:rRNA from 1 species
CCCUUAGAUGUUCUGGGCCGCACGCGCGCUACACUGACGAUGGCAACGAGUUUUUCCUUCGCCGAAAGGUGUGGGUAGUCUUUUGAAACAUCGUCGUGCUGGGGAUAGAUCAUUGCAAUUUUUGAUCUUGAACGAGGAAUUCCUAGUAAGCGCGAGUCAUCAGCUCGCGUUGAUUACGUCCCUGCCCUUUGUACACACCGCCCGUCGCUACUACCGAUUGAAUGGUUUAGUGAGGACUCCUGAUUGGCGCCGCCGCCCCGGCAACGGAGCAGCGGACUGCCGAAAAGUUGUUCAAACUUGAUCAUUUAGAGGAAGUAAAAGUCGUAACA